CCCUAGCCCCGAUGGAAGUGGAAAUCCUUUUUCGCGAGGAACGAGCGAAAAAGAUUGUAACGGAAAGCGGGAAACAGC
rnacentral:sRNA from 1 species